AAACCAGCACCUCAAGUGGUCAGGAGGAUUAUUGGGCCUAAAGCAUCCGUAGCCUGUUCUAUAAGUUUCCGGUUAAAUCCAUUAGCUCAACUAAUGGGCCGCCGAAAAUACUGUAGAACUAGGGAGUGUGAGAGGUAGACGGUAUUCGGUAGGAAGGGGUAAAAUCCUUUGAUCUAUUGAUGACCACCUGUGGCGAAGGCGGUCUACCAGAACACGUUCGACGGUGAGGGAUGAAAGCUGGGGGAGCAAACCGCAUUAGAAACCCCAGUAGUCC
rnacentral:rRNA from 1 species